rnacentral:lncRNA from 1 species
AACACUCUAAGGGGCAUUGUUGGUAUUAAAUAAGUUGGUAACCCUAAUGUGUCCACUAUAUAACCAUACACUUGGCAAUGAAAGAAGAAAAAAAUUUAACCUAGACCAAUCCCACAAACCCAAGCGGCGCCCCACAAUCACAAAUGAGAUUCUCUCUCUCCAAUUGAAAAAAGAAAACAUAAAAAGGUUUUCUUCAAAAAAGUUUCAGUAACAUUUAUACCUACCUUUCUUCAUAAACCUUUAUGUGAUCCCUACAUUUUUCUUCUUGUUGCAACAGAAGCAUCACAACUCAAACAACACCAAAAUAUCCUUCUUUUCACUACCACCUUAACACAUUUUUUUUUUCACAAUAAAUCUUCAUACACACUCAUCCUCUCUCUUCAUGUCAAUUAGAAAAUAUAAAGAGUAAAAAGAGAGAUAAGAGAAAAUUAGUAGAAAAAAUGGUGACAUUAUUCACUAAAACUACCCAUUACUAACUCAUUUUAUCUAAAAUUUCAUUUCCAACUUACCUCACACAUAUCUAUUUCAUAUCUCACAAAACUCCACACAUUUCCUUCACCAGAAUCAUGAACACCAUGAAUAACACAUAGAAAUAACAACAACCACCCUUCCAUUUUUAUUCUUCUCACAAAACAUACUCACUUAUCCAUAUCCAUUUUUCUCACAAAAUCAUUCAAAAUCUGUUUCAUUUCU